CUAUACUGUGAAACUGCGAAUGGCUCAUUAAAUCAGUUAUCGUUUAUUUGAUAGUACCUUACUACAUGGAUAACCGUGGUAAUUCUAGAGCUAAUACAUGCUAAAAACCUCGACUUCGGAAGGGGUGUAUUUAUUAGAUAAAAAACCAAUGCCCUUCGGGGCUCCCUGGUGAUUCAUAAUAACUUAACGAAUCGCAUGGCCUUGCGCCGGCGAUGGUUCAUUCAAAUUUCUGCCCUAUCAACUUUCGAUGGUAGGAUAGUGGCCUACCAUGGUUUCAACGGGUAACGGGGAAUUAGGGUUCUAUUCCGGAGAAGGAGCCUGAGAAACGGCUACUACAUCCAAGGAAGGCAGCAGGCGCGCAAAUUACCCAAUCCCGACACGGGGAGGUAGUGACAAUAAAUACUGAUACAGGGCUCUUUUGAGUCUUGUAAUGGAAUGAGUACAAUUAAAUACCUAACGAGAACAUGGAGGGCAAGUCUGGUCCAGCAGCCGCGGUAAUUCCAGCUCCAAUAGCGUAUAUUAAAGUUGUUGCAGUUAAAAAGCUCGUAGUUGACCCUUGGGCCUGGUUGGCCGGUCCGCCUCACCGCGUGCACUGGUCCGACCGGGUCUUUCCUUCUGGGGAGCCGCAUGCCCUUCACUGGGUGUGUCGGGGAACCAGGACUUUUACUUUGAAAAAAUUAGAGUGUUCAAAGCAGGCCUAUGCUCGAAUACAUUAGCAUGGAAUAAUAGAAUAGGACGUGUGGUUCUAUUUUGUUGGUUUCUAGGACCGCCGUAAUGAUUAAUAGGGAUAGUCGGGGGCAUCAGUAUUCAAUUGUCAGAGGUGAAAUUCUUGGAUUUAUUGAAGACUAACUACUGCGAAAGCAUUUGCCAAGGAUGUUUUCAUUAAUCAGUGAACGAAAGUUAGGGGAUCGAAGACGAUCAGAUACCGUCGUAGUCUUAACCAUAAACUAUGCC
rnacentral:rRNA from 1 species